rnacentral:rRNA from 1 species
GAUGAACGCUGGCGGCGUGCCUAAUACAUGCAAGUCGAGCGAACGGACGAGAAGCUUGCUUCUCUGAUGUUAGCGGCGGACGGGUGAGUAACACGUGGAUAACCUACCUAUAAGACUGGGAUAACUUCGGGAAACCGGAGCUAAUACCGGAUAAUAUUUUGAACCGCAUGGUUCAAAAGUGAAAGACGGUCUUGCUGUCACUUAUAGAUAGAUCCGCGCUGCAUUAGCUAGUUGGUAAGGUAACGGCUUACCAAGGCAACGAUGCAUAGCCGACCUGAGAGGGUGAUCGGCCACACUGGAACUGAGACACGGUCCAGACUCCUACGGGAGGCAGCAGUAGGGAAUCUUCCGCAAUGGGCGAAAGCCUGACGGAGCAACGCCGCGUGAGUGAUGAAGGUCUUCGGAUCGUAAAACUCUGUUAUUAGGGAAGAACAUAUGUGUAAGUAACUGUGCACAUCUUGACGGUACCUAAUCAGAAAGCCACGGCUAACUACGUGCCAGCAGCCGCGGUAAUACGUAGGUGGCAAGCGUUAUCCGGAAUUAUUGGGCGUAAAGCGCGCGUAGGCGGUUUUUUAAGUCUGAUGUGAAAGCCCACGGCUCAACCGUGGAGGGUCAUUGGAAACUGGAAAACUUGAGUGCAGAAGAGGAAAGUGGAAUUCCAUGUGUAGCGGUGAAAUGCGCAGAGAUAUGGAGGAACACCAGUGGCGAAGGCGACUUUCUGGUCUGUAACUGACGCUGAUGUGCGAAAGCGUGGGGAUCAAACAGG